GACAGAGGGUGCAAACGUUGUUCGGAAUUACUGGGCGUAAAGCGUGUGUAGGCGGUCUCGUAAGUCGGAUGUGAAAGCCCUGGGCUCAACCCAGGAAGUGCACUCGAAACUGCGAGGCUAGAGUAUCGGAGAGGUUGGUGGAAUUCUCGGUGUAGAGGUGAAAUUCGUAGAUAUCGAGAGGAACACCGGUGGCGAAGGCGGCCAACUGGACGAAUACUGACGCUGAGACGCGAAAGCGUGGGGAGCGAACAGG
rnacentral:rRNA from 1 species